CACAGCGGAAUCGAAUCUGAUGAGGAACCGUGAGGUGGCUGGUUCGAUCCCUGGCCUCGCUCAGUGGGUUAAAGGUCCGGUGUUGCCAUGAGCUGUGGUGUAGGCUAUAGAUGCAGCUUGGAUCUGGAGUGGCUGUGGCUGUGGUGGAGGCCAGCAGCUAUAGCUCCAAUUGGACCCCUAGCCUGGGAACCUCCAUAUGCCGGGGGUACGGCCCUAAAAAAAAAAAAAAAAAAAAAAGAAAAGAAAAAGAGAGAAGUAGUAUAGGUUUAUACGAACAUGUCUAAUUUUCGUCCAAUUUUUUUUUUUUUUUUGGCCAUGCCUGUGGCACGGGAAAAUUCCCAAGCCAGGGAUCAAAACUGUACCAGCCACCCAAGCUGCUGCAGUGACUCAGCUGGAGCCUUAACCCAAUGUGCCACAAGAAACCCCUUGGCUUCCUCUGAACAGGUCAAGUUUGUAGCCCCUGUGACAGAGCCUCCAUAUACUGUGGGUGCGGCCCUAAAACGACAAAAAAAAAAGGUCCCUGAUAUAUUUUUGAUUUUAUAUAUUUUAUAUAUAUGUGUGUGUGUGCAUGUGUAUAUGUAUAUACAUAUGCAAUUGUCUAUCCCUAUAGGUUUUCUUUUAACGGAUACAGUUCAUGCAGAAAAAUAAUCUAAUGUUCCUAGUUCUCUGUGGUGUGGGUCGCAGACGCAGCUCGGAUCCCGUGUGUCUGUGGCUGUGGUGCAGGCCGGCAGCUGGAGCCCUGAUUCGACCCCUAGCCUGGGAACCUCCAUACGCUGCAGGUGCGGCCCUAAAAAAAANNNNAAAAAAAAAAAAAAAAAAAAAAAGAAAGAAAGAAAGAAAGAAAGAACAAACGCACUGGAAGGUAAGGUAUGAGGCUUGCGGGGCUUUGAGCAGAUGUUGGCGGAGAUUACAGUCUCCUCUGGAAGUUCAGCCGAAGAAGGAUCCAAGCUUACUCCUGUGGUUGUCGGCAGGAUUCAGCUCAUCACAGGUUGUGGGACCAGGGGCCUCAUUUUCUCACUGGCCAUUGGCCAGAGGCACCCGUGGUUAUUUGUCACAUGAGCUUCUCCCUAGAGAAGUUCACCUCAGAGCAGCUGACGUCCGUCAGAGCAAGCAAAGGAGGUGCCAAGGAAGGUGAGCCGGGCGGAAGCAGAGUCGCUUUGGAACGGAAUCUCCGAAGUGACAUCCCACCACUUACGUUCUCUUUGUUAGAAGGAAGUUACUAAAGUCAGCCAACGCGCAAGGGGAGGGGAUUAUAAAAGGGCAUGGGCACCACAAGCAAGGAUCACUGGCGGCGUCUUUGAAGCCGACCACCAUAGCCUUUCAAAGCGAUAAAAGGCCCUGGAUGCAUCUUCAGCAUGUGCUGUAAACACCCUCUCUUUGAAGAAACUAGAACGUCUAAUCAUCUUUUUCCCCCCAUAGCAUCUUCACAGAGAAGAUGUGUGAGCGUGGCUUUUGCCUGAUGCAGUGUGCCCAACCUAGUGGAUCAUGAAUUCCUACAUAGGAAACUCACAAAGUGUUUCAAGGAAAUGUGUCCGCUUGGAAUAAAGACACAGAGGUAAACA
rnacentral:lncRNA from 1 species